UAAAAAGGUACUCAAGGGCACUGUAGUGGAUGCCUAGACGUAUAUUACCGAUGAAGGACGUGGAAGACUGCGAUAAGCUUCGGGUAGCUGUCAACAAGCUAUAAUCCGGAGAUCUCCGAAUAGGGAAACCUAGCAUGAGUAAUGUCAUGUUGCCCCUAACUGAAUACAUAGGUUAGUGGAGCGGGAACCAACUGAACUGAAACAUCUUAGUAGGUUGAGGAAGAGAAAGUAAAUAACGAUUCUCGGAGUAGUGGCGAGCGAAACGGGAUGAGCCCAAACCUUACAAGUUUUUGUCUGUUUACAGAUAAAUACGGCUGAUAGGCCAAUGCUUAUAAGGGGUUGUGACAUCACACAAGACCAAGUCAGAGGAUUUAACCUUGGUUGAAUAAUCUGACUUGUGACCGAGCACUAUCAUGACUCGGGUAAGGUAAAAAAUCAGCGUAGUUAGCAGAACAAGCUGGAAGGCUUGGCCAAAGGACGUGAUAGCCGCGUAUGCGAAAACGACGCUGACCUUAUAUGUGUGGUUUAUCGAGUAGGGCGGGGCACGAGAAACCCUGUCUGAAUCCGGGAGGACCACCUCCCAAGGCUAAACAUAAUAUACGAUCGAUAGUGAACUAGUACAGCGAUGGAAAGGUGAAAAGAACCCCGGGAGGGGAGUGAAAUAGAUCCUGAAACUCAGUGCCUACAAGGAGUCGGAGCCGGCUUGUCCGGUGACGGCGUGCUUUUUGUAGAACGAUCCAGCGAGUUACUUUUUGUAGCAAGGUUAAGCCAUUUGGCGGAGCCACAGUGAAAGCGAGCCUGAAUAGGGCGAUUUAGUUACAAGGAGUAGACCCGAAACCGGGUGACCUAACCAUGAGCAGGCUGAAGCUACCGUAACAGGUAGUGGAGGGCCGAACCGUAGUCCGCAGCAAAGGGCCCGGAUGACUUGUGGUUAGAGGUGAAAUGCCAAUCGAACUCGGAGAUAGCUGGUUCUCCUCGAAACAGUUUUAGGACUGGCGUUGCGUAGUAGCACGUGGGGGUAGAGCUCUGUAAAGGACUGAGGGGAGCAAUCCUACUCACCCUUAACAAACUACGAAUACCAUGUGUGUAAGCGCGGCAGUUAGAACGGCGGAGCUAAGUUCGUCGCUCAAAAGGGAAACAGCCCAGACCAUCAGCUAAGGUCCCUAAAUUUACGUUAAGUGGGAAACAAGGUGAGAUUUCUUAAACAGCUAGGAUGUUGGCUUAGAAGCAGCCAUUCAUUUAAAGAGUGCGUAACAGCUCACUAGUCAAGAGAUCUUGCGUGGAAAAUGUAACGGGGCUAAACGUAAUACCGAAGCUAUGGAUUUGUAGCAAUACAAGUGGUAGAGGAGCGUUCCUAUCUGCGAUGAAGCAGUGCUGUGAGGCAUUGUGGAGCGUUAGGAAGUGAGAAUGCUGGAAUGAGUAACCAUAAGACAGGUGAGAAUCCUGUCGGCCGUAAGAGCAAGGUUUCCUGAGCCAUGGUAAUCAUCUCAGGGUUAGUCGGGCCUAAGCCGAGGCGCAUAGCGUAGGCGAUGGACAUCAGGUUAAUAUUCCUGAACCGGCGUAGUUUGCACACUGUUCACGGUGAGAUAUUCGAAGCGGAUUCAUGGUAUGUAUCCGUCCAACCUAGGGGGAACCCGAUGGGAGUGAAAGUUAUCCUUUGGAUGACAAUUUUGGAAAAGGCGCUGGCUAGAAAAGCAGAUGUGCGCGUGACUAUGUCCGCCCGUACCGCAAACCAACACAGGUGCUCGAGUCGAGUAGACUCAGGCUUACGAGAGAACCUUCGCUAAGGAACUCGGCAAUACAGCGACCGUAACUUCGGGAUAAGGUCUGCCCCCACUUCGGUGGAUAUGUGCCGCGUACACCUCACGCGAAAGUAUUUGAAAAACAAGGUUAAAUCGUGUAAGUGUAAUGACUUACACAUGAGUACGCGCUGUAUCUUUGGAUAUAAGCGUCGAAAAAUCCUUUUUUAUGAACCAAUAUUUUUUACUGAGAUAGAGCAAUAAUGAUUUUUAAAGAUCGACUUGUUCUUUUGUACGCGAACUUCACGCAUCUAACGAUGUGGGGGCCGCAGCAAAAGAGCCCACGGAACUGUUUAUCAAAAACACAGGUCUCUGCUAACACGAAAGUGGAUGUAUAGGGGCUGACUCCUGCCCAGUGCUGGAAGGUUAAGGGGAGCGCUUUACGGUGCGAACUGAAGCCCCAGUGAACGGCGGCGGUAACUAUAACCGUCCUAAGGUAGCGAAAUUCCUUGUCAGGUAAGUUCUGACCCGCACGAAUGGAGUAAUCAUGUGGGCACUGUCUCAGCGAAGGACUCGGUGAAAGUGCAUUGGCGGUAAAGAUGCCGUCUGUCCAUACCAGGACGAGAAGACCCCAUGGAGCUUUACUACAGUUUUACAUUGAUCCGGGUUACACCAUGUGUAGCAUAGUUGGGAGGCUUUGAAGCAGAUACGCCAGUAUUUGUGGAGCCGCAACGUGAAAUACCAACCUUGUUGUGAUCUUGAUCUCACGUUGGCCGUUAUCCGGUCAGCGGACCGUGUAUGAUGGGUAGUUUAACUGGGGCGGUUGCCUCCUAAAGAGUAGCGGAGGCGUUCAAAGGUUGGCUAACUUCGGAUGGAAAUCGAAGUGAUAGUGUAUGCGCACAAGCCAGCUUGACUGUGAGGAGUACAUUCCAAUCAGAGACGAAAGUCGGAGCAAGUGACCCGCUGUAUAGAACUUUGUUCAUUGAAUGUGGGAUCGACAGCGCACACGGAUAAAAGUUACCCUGGGGAUAACAGGCUUAUAGCGCCCAAUAGUUCACAUAGACGGCGCUGUUUGGCACCUCGAUGUCGGCUCAUCACAUCCUGGAGGGGGAGCACCUUCCAAGGGUUCGGCUGUUCGCCGAUUAAAGUGGUACGCGAGCUGGGUUCAGAACGUCGUGAGACAGUUCGGUUUAUAUCCGGUAUGGACGUCAGGAAAUUUGAGAGGAUCUACCCCUAGUACGAGAGGACCGGGGCGGACGCACCUCUGGUGUACGGAUUGUGGCCACCUGCUGCAUUGUCCGGUAGCUACGUGCGGACUAGAUAAGCGCUGAAAGCAUAUUAAGCGCGAAACUAACCUCAAGAUUAGAUUUCCCUAUGAGGACACAGAGAGACUAUCUGUUUGAUAGGUGCAAGGUGGAAGUAUGGCAACAUAUGGAGCCGAAGCAUACUAAUAGUCCCAUUGCCUUUUUAUG
rnacentral:rRNA from 1 species